GAUGAACGCUGGCGGCGUGCUUAACACAUGCAAGUCGAACGGUGAAGGCGGAGCUUGCUCUGCUGGAUCAGUGGCGAACGGGUGAGUAACACGUGAGCAAUCUGCCCCUGACUCUGGGAUAAGCGCUGGAAACGGCGUCUAAUACUGGAUACGAGCUGCGAAGGCAUCUUCAGCAGCUGGAAAGAAUUUCGGUCAGGGAUGAGCUCGCGGCCUAUCAGCUUGUUGGUGAGGUAAUGGCUCACCAAGGCGUCGACGGGUAGCCGGCCUGAGAGGGUGACCGGCCACACUGGGACUGAGGCACGGCGCAGAGGCCUACGGGGGGCAACGGUGGGGAAUAUUGCACAGUAGGCGAGAGCGUGAUGCAGCGACGCCGCGUGAGGGACGACGGCCUUCGGGUUAUAAACCUCUUUUAGCUAGGAAGAAGCGAAAGUGACGGUACCUGCAGAAUAAGCGCCGGCUAACUACGUG
rnacentral:rRNA from 1 species